GAUCAAUUCGUGAAACGGUACAGCCGUGUAACGAAUGGUUAUAACCACAGUUUUUAUUCGGGAAACCCGAUGAAAGGUGAGCA
rfam:Polynucleobacter necessarius subsp. asymbioticus QLW-P1DMWA-1, complete genome.